rnacentral:rRNA from 1 species
AGCGGCGGACGGGUGAGUAAUGCUUGGGAAUAUGCCUUAUGGUGGGGGACAACAGUUGGAAACGACUGCUAAUACCGCAUGAUGUCUACGGACCAAAGUGGGGGACCUUCGGGCCUCACGCCAUAAGAUUAGCCCAAGUGGGAUUAGCUAGUUGGUGAGGUAAUGGCUCACCAAGGCGACGAUCCCUAGCUGGUUUGAGAGGAUGAUCAGCCACACUGGGACUGAGACACGGCCCAGACUCCUACGGGAGGCAGCAGUGGGGAAUAUUGCACAAUGGGCGCAAGCCUGAUGCAGCCAUGCCGCGUGUGUGAAGAAGGCCUUCGGGUUGUAAAGCACUUUCAGUAAGGAGGAAAGGUUAAGUGUUAAUAGCACUUAGCUGUGACGUUACUUACAGAAGAAGCACCGGCUAACUCCGUGCCAGCAGCCGCGGUAAUACGGAGGGUGCGAGCGUUAAUCGGAAUUACUGGGCGUAAAGCGUACGCAGGCGGUUUGUUAAGCGAGAUGUGAAAGCCCCGGGCUCAACCUGGGAACUGCAUUUCGAACUGGCAAACUAGAGUGUGAUAG